rnacentral:lncRNA from 10 species
UCAGCAGCAACGGACCUUGCUGCUUCUGAAGCAGGGACUGACCCAAUAACGGCUCUUCUCAGGAGGAAGUUACUAUGCCCGCAAUCCUGGAGGCUCAGGGUUCUUCAAAAGUGAGAACCAAAACUUAAAGGGAAGGGUACUCUGUACUGCCAGCCUCCAUCACUCCAAGAGGGAAAGAGAACCUCGGGCAGAGCUGGCACCUAUGGAGGAGGCAAUGGGGUGUCCUGGCUGAGAAAAGGACGAGGGCAGGCAGAGGGCAGGAGGUGUGUGGCCAGGUGGCCCGAUGGCAGUGCUGGCUGUUGGCUGUAUCUGCAGACACUAAGGGAUUGGGGAGCUCCCUGGAAACUGGGCUUCAGUGAGCGUGGAGAGUGGUACAGGCGACAACCGGUAGGAGGGGAGAGUGACCCCAGACAUCCCAGUGGUUUACCCGCAGGUCUCUCUUCUCUGGCUUUGUCACUCUGGACUUUGCUUCCGGCUUCAAGUUUCUAGGUGUAAUAUGUGAAGAUUAAUGGCAAUGAAGCAAACGUGCAUAAGAAAAUCCACGCAGCAAAGGCAAUUCCGUUAUUCUCAAGUCCAUAGAUGCCCAGUGUGACAUUGUGAACUGGAGAAAAAGGAGCACUUCCUGUUCAGGAAAUCUUGUAAAAUCAUAAAUGUCAGGACUCAGUCAACAAUACCCCAAAAUGAAGGCCUCAGAAGCAUCCUCAGAGGAAAAAUUUAUUUCUCUGAUCUUCUCUUGCCCUCCUGUCUCUUAGCGCCAUUCUCCCCUGAGGCUAGACACAGACACUAGAAUCCCUCUGCCCCAGGGCAGGGCAUGGAAGCCAGAAGCCUUUUUCCCCAAAGCCAGCCAUAAAACUUAAAGAUGUCACUCUAACUUUCCCUCUGCCUUUCUGUGUGAAAACUGGCCAUAAAGAAACUAUCUGCCCUACCUUGUUUGACUGAAGGUCAUAAGACCCUCAUUCCAGAGAGGGUCCUGCCUCAUACUCAGAAGGAAGGAAUGCACGUUCAGCAAGGCCAAGAAGAAUCUAAACAGACAGGCCUUGCUGAGUUUCCCCACUCAGCCGAUUGACAUUGGAUCAUGCCCUUUUCGUCUAAUCCUAUAUCUACACGGCUGUCCAUACUUUGUUGAACAUAAGCAUAAAAAUGGUCAGUUUCCUCUGUAUCUUUGGGUCAUUCUGAAGGUUCUCAUGUACACAUUAAUAAAAUUUAUACCCAUUUUCUCCAAUUAACCUGCCUUUUGUGAGUUGAUUUUUCAGCAAACCUUCAGAAAAUGAAGAGGCUUUCCCUUUGCCCCUCCAGUAACAAAAUGGUAUCUCAUUCUCUAAAUACAAUUAUUUCUAUAAAAUGCCUUUUCUAGGCUGGGUGUGGUGGCUCACGCCUGUAAUUCCAGCACUUUGGGAGGCCGAGGCGGGGGGAGGUGGUGGGUGGAUCACUUGAGGCCAGCAGUUCAAGUCCAGUCUGGACAACAUGGUGAAACCUCGUCUCUACUAAAAAUACAAAAAUUAGCCGGGCGUGGUGGUGUGCACCUGUAGACCCAGCUACUCGAGAGGCUGAGGCAGGAGAAUCACUUGAACCUGGGAGGCAGAGGUUGCAGUGAGCCGAGAUCGCACCACUGCACUCCAGCCUGGGCAACAGAGCAAGACUCGGUCUCAAAAAAUAAAAUAAAAUAAAAUAAAAUAAAAUAAAAUAAAAUAAAAUAAAAUAAAAUAAAAUAAAA